rnacentral:rRNA from 1 species
AAUAUUCCUGUACUUGGUGUUACUGCGAAGGGGGGACGGAGAAGGCUAUGUUGGCCGGGCGACGGUUGUCCCGGUUUAAGCGUGUAGGCUGGUUUUCCAGGCAAAUCCGGAAAAUCAAGGCUGAGGCGUGAUGACGAGGCACUACGGUGCUGAAGCAACAAAUGCCCUGCUUCCAGGAAAAGCCUCUAAGCAUCAGGUAACAUCAAAUCGUACCCCAAACCGACACAGGUGGUCAGGUAGAGAAUACCAAGGCGCUUGAGAGAACUCGGGUGAAGGAACUAGGCAAAAUGGUGCCGUAACUUCGGGAGAA